UACAGAGGUCUCAAGCGUUGUUCGGAUUCAUUGGGCGUAAAGGGUGCGUAGGCGGCGCGGUAAGUCGGGUGUGAAAUCUCGGAGCUUAACUCCGAAACUGCAUUCGAUACUGCCGUGCUUGAGGACUGGAGAGGAGACUGGAAUUUACGGUGUAGCGGUGAAAUGCGUAGAUAUCGUAAGGAAGACCAGUGGCGAAGGCGGGUCUCUGGACAGUUCCUGACACUGAGACACGAAG
rnacentral:rRNA from 1 species